UACGUAGGUGGCAAGCGUUGUCCGGAUUUAUUGGGUUUAAAGGGUGCGUAGGCGGCCUAUUAAGUCAGUGGUGAAAGCCAACAGCUCAACUGUUGAACUGCCAUUGAUACUGAUAGGCUUGAGUACAGACGAGGUAGGCGGAAUUGAUGCUGUAGCGGUGAAAUGCAUAGAUAGCAUCAAGAACACCGAUUGCGUAGGCAGCUUACUAGGCUGUAACUGACGCUGAGGCACGAAAAGCGUGGGGAGCGAACAGG
rnacentral:rRNA from 1 species